rnacentral:rRNA from 1 species
CUUUACUAUAGCUUGGAAUUGUGUUCGGGCUUGCUGUGCGCAGUAUAGGUGGGAGGCGUUGAAGGUAUCCUUGUGGGGAUACUAGAGCCAACAGUGAGAUACCACUCUCAGAAAGCUAGAAUUCUAACUCGAAAGAGGAAAGUUUCAGGUGGGUAGUUUGACUGGGGCGGUCGCCUCCAAAAAAGUAACGGAGGCGUACAAAGGUUACCUCAGACUGGUUGGAAAUCAGUCGAAGAGUGCAAAAGCAGAAGGUAGCUUGACUGCGAGACGGACAAGUCGAGCAGGGUGGAAACACGGUUUUAGUGAUCCGACGGUGCCGAGUGGAAGGGCCGUCGCUCAACGGAUAAAAGUUA